rnacentral:rRNA from 1 species
GAUGAACGCUGGCGGCGUGCCUAAUACAUGCAAGUCGAGCGAACGGACGAGAAGCUUGCUUAUCUGAUGUUAGCGGCGGACGGGAGAGUAACACGUGGAUAACCUACCUAUAAGACUGGGAUAACUUCGGGAAACCGGAGCUAAUACCGGAUAAUAUUUUGAACCGCAUGGUUCAAAAGUGAAAGACGGUCUUGCUGUCACUUAUAGAUGGAUCCGCGCUGCAUUAGCUAGUUGGUAAGGUAACGGCUUACCAAGGCAACGAUGCAUAGCCGACCUGAGAGGGUGAUCGGCCACACUGGAACUGAGACACGGUCCAGACUCCUACGGGAGGCAGCAGUAGGGAAUCUUCCGCAAUGGGCGAAAGCCUGACGGAGCAACGCCGCGUGAGUGAUGAAGGUCUUCGGAUCGUAAAACUCUGUUAUUAGGGAAGAACAUAUGUGUAAGUAACUGUGCACAUCUUGACGGUACCUAAUCAGAAAGCCACGGCUAACUACGUG